AGUAGUUCAGUUGGUUAGAAUGCCGGCCUGUCACGCCGGAGGUCGCGAGUUCGAGUCUCGUCGGCCCCGCCA
rnacentral:tRNA from 1 species